ensembl:lncRNA
AUGAUUUUUUUCAAUAACCGAGCCGCCCCAGUCGACGCCGCCCCAGUCGACGCCCCCCCAGUCGACGCCCCCCCAGUCGACGCCCCCCCCCCCCCGUACCUUUGGCGUGUCCCGCGGGGUCCUGGGGGGGGGGGCGGGGCCGGCCCGGGGGGAGGCGGUCCUGGGGCGGGCGGGGCGGGCCCGGUGGGAGGCGGUGCUGGUGGUCCUGGGGGGGGGGCCCCGGUGAUGGGUGGUGCUGCGGGGGGGCUGCGACCGCGCCCUCGGCCCCCCCCCCUGGCUCACGCUCUUCUCCACCCGCUCCCGCUUCACCCUCAGCGGGGGCGGGGCGGCGGGGGGGGCCCCCCGGGGCCGCAGCACGCGGGGCUGGGGGCCGGCGGCGGCGAACUGCUCGCGGGACACGGAGCGCGUCAGGCAGAUGUCCACCGAGUCCUCCUCCCGCUUCAACCCCCCCGGCGGCACCCCCCCCGGCCGGCAGAAGCUGAACAGGAAGCCGGGGUCCAGCAGCUUGAUGGGCGGCUUGCUCCGCCUCUUGCCCAGGUCGGGGGGGCCGGGGCCCGGGGGGGCGGGCUCCGGGAAGGCCCCGCCCACGGGCAGGGGGUCGGCGGGCUCCUCCUUGAUGACCCGGUACAGCGGGUGGCUGUAGAGGGAGGGGGGCGGGGGGGCGGGGGUGGUGGGGGUGCCCGAGGCCUCCAGCCCGUCCGGUCGGCCGGCCGGCGGCCCCGGGGGGCUCCCGUCGGCGGGAGGGGCGGUCCUCCCGGGGGGCCGCCUCGCCGCCAUGUGGCGCGGCCGGGCCCCGGGCGCCGGCGGGCGGCGGCCGUUGCAGAGCGGCGCCCUCGCGGCGGCGUCCUCCCGCGCCACUGGCCCGACGUCGUCACGGCGACCGUGCGGCGGGGGCGGCGGCCCCGUGAUGAAGUAGUCCACCGGCUCCGCCUUGAUGGCGCGGAACACGGCGGCGGCGGGGGGGGCGGGCGGCGGGCGGACCGGGGCGCUCACGGCCCGCCGCGGGGAGCUCCGCAGCGCCCCGCCCCCUCCCCCGCACGCCGGCUCCGGGGGGGCGGGCGCGGCCCCCCUGCUCCUCAUGCUGCGGUCGCUGGGCGGGGCCCGCGGGGGGGGGGCGACGGGCCGGUCCUCAGGCUCCGCCUUCAGGAGGCGGGCGGGGGCCGGCCCGGGGCCCGGGGCCCGCGGGGGCCUCCUCUUGGUCAGGCAGUAGUUGUUGGCCUUCAGCUUCCGGAGGCGCUUCUUCUGCCGCCAGCCGACCAGGUCCUGGGGCCGCGGCAGCAGGGCGGUGCGCUGCAGCCCCAGGACGCUCAUCAGGCGGUACUUCUCCUGCGCCCGCUCGUAGCCCCCCUCCCCCCCCUCCUCCCCCCCCUCCUCCCCCUCCUCCUCCUCCGGCGGCUCCUGCUUCACCCGGACGGGGCCCGGCCGCCGGCGGGGCGGCGGGGGGGCCUUCUUGUUCCUGCGGGGGCUCUCGGGGCGGGGCAGCAGCCUCAGCACCUCCUGCGCCGCCCCGGGGGUGGAGCGGAGGAGGCGGGUGUGCGGGGGGGAGGGGAGGGGCGAGGCGGCCGGCGGGAGGCGGGGCCGUGGCGGCGUGGAGGGGGCGGGCCUACAGGCCUUCUUACAGGACGGAGACUUGAAGUCAAUGAGCUUCAUCCGGGGGUGGGCGGGGCUGUGCAGGGCGCCGUUCUGCGGGGGCGUCCCCGGGGGCCUCCGCCUCGCCGCGCGGCGGGGACCGCCGUCCUCCGUCGGCUCCUCCGCCGCGGGCGAGGAGAGCCGCUCCCUCUUCCGGUGGGGCCGGGCCCCGCCCUGGGGGGCGGCCCCGGCGGAGGGGGUGGUCCGGAGGCCCCUGGGGGCCGGCGGGGGGGCCGUCUGCUCCCUCAGCAGGGCGGAGCAGGCCUCCAGCGCCGGCCACAUCCCCAGGUGGCGAGCCAUGGCGCUGACCUCCGGCAGGUCCUCCGGCCGGACGCGCAGCGUGGACGAGUAGGAGAAGUGGAGCAGCGGCAGCAGGCUCUGCUCGCUGAAGCCUGGAGCACCAGAGAGAGGGGGGGGGGGGGGGGGGGGGUUAAUGGUGUGGUCCUGAAUCCUCGGACGCCAGCCUUCAGCGUUGACGUCACUUCCGGUCUCGGAGCAUUCAUAGCGUUCCUGUUCGUCUUUGUCAUUGUGUCAUGA